rnacentral:tRNA from 1 species
GGGGAUAUAGCAUAAUCUGGUUAGUGUUGCCGCCUCCAGAGCGGCGUGUCCAGGUUCAAAUCCUGGUAUCCCCA